rnacentral:rRNA from 1 species
AUUGAACGCUGGCGGCAGGCCUAACACAUGCAAGUCGAGCGGAUGAAGGGAGCUUGCUCCUGGAUUCAGCGGCGGACGGGUGAGUAAUGCCUAGGAAUCUGCCUGGUAGUGGGGGAUAACGUCCGGAAACGGGCGCUAAUACCGCAUACGUCCUGAGGGAGAAAGUGGGGGAUCUUCGGACCUCACGCUAUCAGAUGAGCCUAGGUCGGAUUAGCUAGUUGGUGGGGUAAAGGCCUACCAAGGCGACGAUCCGUAACUGGUCUGAGAGGAUGAUCAGUCACACUGGAACUGAGACACGGUCCAGACUCCUACGGGAGGCAGCAGUGGGGAAUAUUGGACGAUGGGCGAAAGCCUGAUCCAGCUAUGCCGCGUGUGUGAAGAAGGUCUUCGGAUUGUAAAGCACUUUAAGUUGGGAGGAAGGGCAGUAAGUUAAUACCUUGCUGUUUUGACGUUACCAACAGAAUAAGCACCGGCUAACUUCGUG